CGUAAUAGCUGUAUUAAUCAUUAAAUAGCAGGGCGCUUCAUAUGGACGUCUGUGUUUCGCGUUCCAUUGAAUUACUAACUUCUGCUGCUGCAUAAAGGCAUGAUAUUCACAGAGAGAUAUCCAGGGAAUGUUUAAUGUUACUGAAAAGAAUAAAUGCGCAUAAGUACACAAAAAAAUGGCGAAACUUCGAACAUUGGUGUUGUCUUUGGUGAUAUCAGCUAUCUUUCUUGAAUGCGUUUUUACACUCUCGUUCAUGGGUCAAACACAUAGAGUGGAUACAAAAUGGGGAAAGAGAGAUGGAACUAAUGAAUUGAGUCUUCGUGAUCUUCUCAGUUUAGCAGAACGAAAACGGGACAUGUUAAAAAGAAUAUUUAAACUAAAAAGAAAUGGCUGGAAAUAAUGCAGCUGAGCAAAACGAAGAAAAAGAACAUGUAAAUAUAUAAAUUUAUCUGGAUUAAUUAUUGUACAAAAAGAAUAAUAAAAACCAAAUUUUAAUAUGUUGUUUAUUGCUAUGCAGUCGGAAAAAUCAUCAGUUAAAA